rnacentral:rRNA from 1 species
UCGAGAAUCUUCCGCAAUGGACGAAAGUCUGACGGAGCGACGCCGCGUGAUGGAUGAAGUCCCUCUGGGACGUAAACAUCUUUUAUGAGGGAGAAAGUUUAUUGAUAGUACCUCACGAAUAAGGGGUUGCUAAACUCGUGCCAGCAGCAGCGGUAAUACGAGUGCCCCGAGCGUUAUCCGGAAUCACUGGGCGUAAAGCGCGUGUAGGCGGUCUGCUAAGUCUGAUGUGAAAGCCCGGGGCUCACCCCCGGAAGUGCAUUGGAAACUGACAGACUGGAGUCCCGGAGAGGAGGGUGGAAUUCCUGGUGUAGCGGUGAAAUACGUAGAUAUCAGGAGGAACACCGGCGGCGAAGGCGGCCCUCUGGACGGUGACUGACACUCAGACGCGAAAGCGUGGGGAGCAAACAGGAUUAGAUACCCUUGUAGUCCCUGAGCGGGCUGGCAAGGCGCAU